GACGAACGCUGGCGGCGUGCUUAACACAUGCAAGUCGAACGGAAAGGCCCUGCUUUUGUGGGGUGCUCGAGUGGCGAACGGGUGAGUAACACGUGAGUAACCUGCCCUUGACUUUGGGAUAACUUCAGGAAACUGGGGCUAAUACCGGAUAGGAGCUCCUGCUGGAUGGUGGGGGUUGGAAAGUUUCGGCGGUUGGGGAUGGACUCGCGGCUUAUCAGCUUGUUGGUGGGGUAGUGGCUUACCAAGGCUUUGACGGGUAGCCGGCCUGAGAGGGUGACCGGCCACAUUGGGACUGAGAUACGGCCCAGACUCCUACGGGAGGCAGCAGUGGGGAAUAUUGCACAAUGGGCGGAAGCCUGAUGCAGCAACGCCGCGUGCGGGAUGACGGCCUUCGGGUUGUAAACCGCUUUCGCCUGUGACGAAGCGUGAGUGACGGUAAUGGGUAAAGAAGCACCGGCUAACUACGUG
rnacentral:rRNA from 1 species